ensembl:misc_RNA 7SK 7SK RNA
ACAUAUGUGGGCUAUCUGAUUAUGAUAUGUGUCACCCCCUUCAUCAUUAGGGUUGAUUCAGCUGAUCUGCCUGGCUAGGUGGGUGUCCCCUUCCUCCCUCACCCUUUUUGUUUGUCCCUUACAAAGUGCUGCAUGCUCUGUUAAAGAGGACAAACUUCAUCAAAGAAAGACAGACUUGACUGUCUUGGUCAAGGGAACAUGUGUAGAUGUGCUUCCCUGCUAGGACCUCCAAACAAGUUCUCAAUGUCCAUUCCUCUCUCCUGAGCCUCAGGAGACAAUCUAAAGACCAAACAAAUAAUCUAUUGCAUCAUA